UAGUCCACGCUGUAAACGAUGGAUACUAGGUGUAGGGGGUGUCGACUCCCCCUGUGCCGCAGCUAACGCAAUAAGUAUCCCACCUGGGGAGUACGACCGCAAGGUUGAAACUCAAAGGAAUUGACGGGGGCCCGCACAAGCAGUGGAGUAUGUGGUUUAAUUCGAAGCAACGCGAAGAACCUUACCAGGGCUUGACAUACUGAUGACCGGUCUAGAGAUAGGCCUUUCCUUCGGGACAUCAGAUACAGGUGGUGCAUGGUUGUCGUCAGCUCGUGUCGUGAGAUGUUGGGUUAAGUCCCGCAACGAGCGCAACCCCUAUUGUUAGUUGCCAUCAUUAAGUUGGGCACUCUAGCGAGACUGCCGGUGAUAAAUCGGAGGAAGGUGGGGAUGACGUCAAAUCAUCAUGCCCCUUAUGUCCUGGGCUACACACGUACUACAAUGGCUAAUACAGCGCGAAGCAAUACUGUGAAGUGGAGCGAAUCGCGAAAAUUAGUCUCAGUUCGG
rnacentral:rRNA from 1 species